CCUACGGGUGGCAGCAGUGAGGAAUAUUGGUCAAUGGACGAGAGUCUGAACCAGCCAAGUAGCGUGAAGGAUGACUGCCCUAUGGGUUGUAAACUUCUUUUAUAUAGGAAUAAAAUGUUACACGUGUGGGAUUUUGUAUGUACCAUAUGAAUAAGGCUCGGCUAACUCCGGGCCAGCAGCCGCGGUAAUACGGAGGAUCCGAGCGUUAUCCGGAUUUAUUGGGUUUAAAGGGAGCGUAGGUGGAGUGUUAAGUCAGUUGUGAAAGUUUGCGGCUCAACCGUAAAAUUGCAGUUGAAACUGGCAGUCUUGAGUACAGUAGAGGUGGGCGGAAUUCGUGGUGUAGCGGUGAAAUGCUUAGAUAUCACGAAGAACUCCGAUUGCGAAGGCAGUUCACUGAACUGCAACUGACACUGAGGCUCGAAAGUGUGGGUAUCAAACAGGAUUAGAUACCCCAGUAGUC
rnacentral:rRNA from 1 species